AAGAGAGGGAGAGAGAUGUCUAUGACUAGUAAAGGGAAGAGAGGGAGAGAGAUGUCUAUGACUAGUAAAGGGAAGAGAGGGAGAGAGAUGUCUAUGACUAGUAAAGGGAAGAGGGGGAGAGAGAUGUCUAUGACUAGUAAAGGGAAGAGGGGGAUAUGAAACUACAACCUGAUGUAUUCCUACAUAUACCCCGUAUAUAAGUCAAGUGUUUAUAUACGGUUAUAUGUCUACUGGAGGUGUUUGUAUAGCUUUAUUGAUCUCAACCUGAAUGCACAGCAAUCCCAGGGUCCCUUUCUCACUCGUUUGUAUUCCUUCCUCUGUUGCCCAGGGUUACCCAGCACACUCUUCCUCCUCUCACGCUCUUCCUCAAUCACCCUCCCAAGAGUGUUUUUUUCCUCUUCUACUUACACUAGGAAAAGGAAAAGGAAAGAAGACAUUGGAAAGCAAUAAUUUAUGAGCAGGAAUUAUGUUAUUUUUUAAAGCCAUUCUUUAUUGUUGUCCUACAUGUUAUUGUUCUUGAAUAUGGAAAUACACAGGAAAUAGUAAUGAUUUGAUUGACUGAAAUUUUCCCCAACUGAUGUUUUUAUUUUUUGGCCUUUUGAUUGGCUCUUCCUGUUUUGUAGCCAUUUCCAUUGUACUUUGUGAUAGGUUGUUUUUGAUGUAUAUUGAUCAGGGCAUCUUGUUCAGGACAGAAAGGUCCCGUUUAGAACUGACAAGAUUCCUCAUUCAACAUGACACAGAAUCAUGCCAUGAUGUUUGGCCUGAAAUUCAAGUCAUCCUAAUCAUGUUCCAAACACAUGAGUUUGGUAAUUAAUACACUUUUUUUUUUUUUGCAGUAGAUUCAUCAAAGUUCAUCCUUAUCGAGAGAGUUUGACAUUCAAAAUAUGAUCUGAAUCAAACAUUUGUUUUCUGAAAUCGAUUGUGAUGUUUAGUAAGUCACUAUAACACUCUUCUACAGGGAAUUAACCAUUCUGAUUGGGCAACAGAGGGCUGUGAAUUUUAAGGUUCUGAAAUACUUGUUUUGUUAUUGUGUAGGUCUUUCAUUUUAAGUCUGAUAAUGUAUACAUGUCUGUGAGUGUAAUUCACAGACUUGCCGAAACAUGUGAAUUGUAUGUAAACCCAUCAUGUGUCAAUAGUCACACGAUGAAAAUGGCAGUUUGAUGACUGUUGUCUUGUUAUUGUUUUAAACCACUUUGGUUGUUCCCUGUCCAGGUUUUUACAAUGACGUGAGCUGCAGUUUAUAUAGCGCACACAGAUACACAAAUAUAGGAAUGUAUAUGAAAUGUUAAACAAGAGAAAGUGAAGUGUUUGGUUUUUCUAUUAAAUUGUUAUAUUGUCAAGAAGUUGUGGGUAGAUAUUUGUUUAUUUUAGGGUUCCGGGGGCUGUAACACUGGAACUGUUCCUUUUGAGAAAUGUGAUGAUUGUACAACGUCACUCCAAUGUAUAAAAUGUGUAGGCCUAGUCAUCAGACCUGGGUUAUAACACUUUCAGGUAUUUCAAUUACUUUUCAAUACAUUUCAAAACAAGUAUUCAGAUAACCUUUUAUUUGAAAAAACAAGUAGUUUAAUAUGGGAUUGUGUUUGAAGUACUCAAAUACGCUGACUCAAAUACACUCCCAGGUAUUUAAAUAGUAUUUGAAAACACUUUCAAAUACAAUUUGGUCAACUACUUGGUUUUUACAAAUAAACGUUCAAAUAAAAGUAUUUGUUUUAGGUUGUGUAUUUGGAAAUACCAAAAUACACAGAAAAAAAACAUUUAAAUAACAUACUCAAAUUCACAUUUGAAAUGAGGUCUGAGUCAUAUGCAUAAAACCCAUGACUUUGUCCUCAACAGUCUUUAGAAUGUUCAGUAUGUUCACAUGGUCUCUACCUAUAUAGGAGAGGAACAGAGACAGUCCAUAAAUCCAUCCAUCCUCUGUCCAUCUAUAGAAACACAGAUGGUUUCACCACGUAAGAGAGGAACAGAGAGAAGGAUAGGAAACAUACGUAGUGAAAGGUUGCUCUUUUUAGAAUAAGCUUCUCUCUCAUUCUCCCUCAUCGUUUGGCUCAUCAUAGGCUAGUUGUUCCACAGACUCUGUCGUUAGAUGUGUUUAGUACCAAUGGACUAGAUGGCUAAAAAACACCAUCAGCGUCACCAACCAUGGAGAGAUACAGGGUGAACAGGCUUUUGUUCUAGCCCAGCACUAACAAACACUAAUUUAACUCAUUCAGGUCUGGAAGAGCAUGUAUUGACAAAUCUUAGUUACACACAGGCACACAUGCAUCCUACAUAUGCUAAGCCCCACCCAUAUUCCUCACUGGACAGUAUUUUUAGCUGAAACCUGAUCCCUUCAGCAACAGAGAAUAAAGGCAACCCUGCAAAACCCCUGCCUUUAACUAGCUCCGUGGACACACACACUAACCCGUUCUGACAUGCAGACAUGCACACUGUGACGCAGACACGCAGCAGGACGUUACGUACACAUGGGGACACACCCGUCUACAGUCCAGUAAGGAAAAUAAAAGAAUGAGACGUGUGAGCUGAGGGCUGAAGUUCUUCUCCACCAAUCUGGAACAGAGUUCCAUUACAGAGACACACUGCAGCAGACAUUACGGAUCCAUAACCAGCUUCAAGAAUUCUAAAGGAUGAAGAACCUUAAACUUCUCAUCCUCUCUCUCUCCAUCUGCCUGUUGCUGGGCAACCUGGGGGUGAGUGGCUACAGUAAUGUCGAACCCUGUCAACGGUCCCGAUGCAAUAACUGCCAUGAAAAGUUCCUAUACCGGCAUGUGCGUCCAAAUACCCCGCUAACGACGGACCGCAACGCGUGGGAGAAGUAUCUACGUGAAAAAAAUGACUGCUCAAGACCCACGCAGUCCUUCCUCCAUCCCAAAGACCGGGAGAGGGUGGACGCGGUCUGCUCCAGCUCUGGGGGAAAGAGGUACCAGGGGAACCUGUGCAUCAGCCAAAGCCCGUUCACAUUUCUAACAGUGAGAAGUGAGACUGGGACCUGCGGUGUGUCCAGUGUGCGGGAAGAGACCAAGCAUUUGAUCCUGGCAUGUGAGGUGCUGGAGAACAGGUGUGUGCCGGUCCACUUCGAGGGGAACCGCGAGGGGAGCAAGCCCGAUAAUAACGCUGCAGGAUGUGGCAGCACAGAGAAAGGGAAGGGCUCAAGCUUCAAAGUAUCAGGAAUGUGGCUGGCAUCUUCAUUGAUACUCAUGUUUCUCUCACAACUCCUUUUCUGAACAGUUAAUGGGGGGGCAGAUAGUCAAACAAUACAUCAAAAGGAAGUUUGUUUUAAAGUGUCUGUCCUAAACUCUAAAAAGAAAAUGUUCCUGGAGUAUCCUUUAGGGGUUCUUCAAAUGUAAUGUGUGGGUGAACCGCUAUGAGUUCUUCAAAGAACCCCUUUUAAUGGAUCCUCAGAGAACCUUUUGAAGAACCUUUGGGGUACAUUUUUUGAACGACCCCUCUCCCCUAAUAUUAAUAAAGGUAAUAACAAAAACAACAAUAACACAAUAUUUUAUUGUUCUCAGUGUUUAUUAUGAUUGUAGUGGCAAAAGCAGAAUAAUAAAAUCUAAAUAUGAGGUAAACUCCCAGCAGAGCCCCAAGUCCAGUGGAAGUCCAAUGGAAGUAUAUCCUCUGGCGUGUUGAUGUUAUUGUGUUGAUGUUCUCCGUAUCCAUAGCCAGAAUGAGGCAUAGUUCUGUCUGUAAUAAAGCCCUUUUGUGGGGAAAACUCAUUCUGAUUGGCUGGGCCUGGCUCCCCAGUAGGAGGGCCUAUGCCCUCCCUGGCCCACCCAUGGCUGCGCCCCUGCCCAGUCAUGUGAAAUCCAUAGAUUAGGGCCUAAAUGAUUUAUUUAAAUGACCUGAUUUCCUUAAUUAACUGUAACUCAGCAAAAUCUUUGAAAUAGUUGCAUGUUGCGUUUAUAUUUUUGUUCCGUAUACUUCCAUAUGUAUUACCAUUCAUUGGUGAGUAGCCCAAACUGUUCUGAAGCUACAGACAGAAGUUGGCAGAUCGGUGGUACCGACUUGCGGGGGUCGUAGAAAACUGAGAACACCAUCAUGUUGGUGAGAGUCUCAUCUUUCCAUAGAUGGGUCAUAUUAGUUUGUUGGCCAAACCGUUCGGACGCUUACAGACUUUUUUGUGAGAAGAACGAUUUCCGCCAUGUCUCAUGGUCUGACAAACAGUAGCUUGGUCACCUUCCACCACAGAUGCCGAAGGACGCCGUUGGAAGGACGCCAUGAGGUGAAUUGAGACGCAGCCCAUCCAAAAGGCUACAUAUCUCUAGCUUAAAGCUACAAUAUGUCACUUUUUGGGCAACCCAACCAAAUUCACAUCGAAAUAUGAGUUAUAGAUAUUUCAUGAAAGCAAGUAUAAGAAGUGGUAGAUCUGUUCUAUGUGUGCUAUUUUCACGUCUUUUACUUUCAGUUUUGUACACAAGCAAUAUUUUUGGUUAUUGAAAAAAUAUUUCACAGCAGUUUAGAUGGUACUAUGAUUCUCUACACAAUGACUGCCUGUUUUGUCAUAAAACACAGCAGUUUAGGUGGUACUAUGAUUCUCUACACAAUGACUGCCUGUUUUGUCAUAAAACACAGCAGUUUAGAUGGUACUAUGAUUCUCUACACAAUGACUGCCUGUUUUGUCAUAAAACACAGCAGUUUAGAUGGUACUAUGAUUCUCUACACAAUGACUGCCUGUUUUGUCAUAAAACACAGCAGUUUAGGUGGUACUAUGAUUCUCUACACAAUGACUGCCUGUUUUGUCAUAAAACACAGCAGUUUAGGUGGUACUAUGAUUCUCUACACAAUGACUGCCUGUUUUGUCAUAAAACACAGCAGUUUAGAUGGUACUAUGAUUCUCUACACAAUGACUGCCUGUUUUGUCAUAAAACACAGCAGUUUAGGUGGUACUAUGAUUCUCUACACAAUGACUGCCUGUUUUGUCAUAAAACACAGCAGUUUAGGUGGUACUAUGAUUCUCUACACAAUGACUGCUUGUUUUGUCAUAAAACACAGCAGUUUAGGUGGUACUAUGAUUCUCUACACAAUGACUGCCUGUUUUGUCAUAAAACACAGCAGUUUAGGUGGUACUAUGAUUCUCUACACAAUGACUGCCUGUUUUGUCAUAAAACACAGCAGUUUAGGUGGUACUAUGAUUCUCUACACAAUGACUGCCUGUUUUGUCAUAACUUAAAAUUAGGUGAACUAUUAGAAUUUGAUCAACCAGGAAAUGGCAGAGUGAUUUCUUAAUAGUACAUCUUUAAACAGAGGGAUUUUGAUGGGGAUUUUUUUAUUAUGCUAAUUAGAUUUAAGUGGGGGGCGCGGACAUCUACUCUAGGGGGUGUAGACUGCCAUGUAUUCAGGUCUCGUCCUGGGCUAUAACGUUUCCCUCACAACAUUUAAAAGACUGCUAUCUAUUCAGGUCUGACCCUGGGCUAUGAUAGCCUGGGUACUUUGUACUCUGUGUCAUAUGCCAAAGAUGUUUAGCGUAAAAAGAGUGGCAAGGAGGGGAAUGAUAGCUAAACAGACUGGUACCCGUACCAGACUAGGGCUAUGAUGUUUCACACACAACAGUUAAUAGACAGCCAUGUUUUGUUCUCUCACGACAUCUAUUCUGAACAGAAAGACUGGUCAUUUGUUUUGUCAUGUGUAUGUUAUGGACGGUGUUGCCUGUUCCUGUGUGUCAGUCAGGGAUCUGUCUACGGCUGUGGGCCCCAGCCUAAUGUGGGCGUCAGCAUUUCAUUACCUUGUACUUCAUUUGAAAAAGUGUAUUGUACCAUGCUGAAUAUAUGCACUAUCAAUAAAGGUUGAUUUGGUAGAAUGUU